rnacentral:lncRNA from 1 species
CGAAAUUUACAACAACUCACAACUAAUUAAGUUAGCCGAUUUUGAUAAUAGGAAACGACAAGAUUAAGUGAUGGAUUAGAGUUUUUGAUCCCACGCACAUUGAAAUUGCGCCUAAUUGUUACACAUACCCACCCACCAUGAUUUGGCCACAAAAUGUGACCGCUUCAAUGUUUUGUAUCCCACAUGAUAAUCUACUCUUGC